rnacentral:rRNA from 1 species
AUUGAACGCUAGCGGGAUGCUUUACACAUGCAAGUCGAACGAGUGGCGGACGGGUGAGUAAUGUAUGGGGACUGCCCGAUCGAGGGGGAUAACUACUGGAAACGGUAGCUAAUACCGCAUACUAUCGGAUAACCCAUAGGGGAUGAGCUAGUGGGUGUGGUAAUGGUUCACCUAGGCGACGAUCCCUAGCUGGUCUGAGAGGAUGAUCAGCCACACUGGGAAUGAGACACGGCCCAGACUCCUACGGAGGCAGCAGUGGGGAAUAUUGCGCAAUGGGCGAAAGCCUGAUGCAGCCAUGCCGCGUGUAUGAAGAAGGCCCUAGGGUUGUAAAGUACUGUCAGUCGGGAGGCGUUACCGACAGAAGAAGCACCGGCUAACUCCGUGCCAGCAGCCGCGGUAAUUC